CCACGUGUCCCCUGUGGCGAGAUUUCGCCCUCCCGCCGUUGAGGAGGAAGAGUGUGAGAACAGACUUCCUAGGCACAGAAUGGAGGGGCAGAGUCCUGCAUUGAGGACUCCCUGCACUUGGGGUCCGAGGCUCACCGGGCGCCGUUCCCAGCCGCUUCUUACGCAGCCGGGAAACCAUAACGAGAUUUGGUCUUCGAGGGCAUUUAGGCCGGGACCACAACGAAUCCGGGAGUUGGCCAGAAGGAUCCAUCGAGAGGCGAAGAGUGGGGGCUGGGGGAGGAGGCACCUGCGGAGGAAGCCGGUGAGGCGGAGGCAGCCCAAAGGCUGAGGCAGCCCAAAGGCGGAGGCCAGCAAGGAUGGAGGCGCGGUGAGCAUCUCCGCUGACUCAGCGACCCAUGCUCGGGCCCCUCCCGCGCUGAGCCUGGUUCCUAACACCCUGGCCCCCUGGCCCCCGCCCCGCACAUCUCCGCCAGCCAGCCUUCCCC
rnacentral:sRNA from 1 species